UCUGGUGACCCCAGGGGAGGUGACAACGACCCCCUUAGUGCCACCCUCGUGCCACCAACCUUCCUCCAGGUCGCUCCGCGCCGCCGCCUCCAGCAGCCGCACGCUGGCCGGGAACCGGACGCGCUUCGAGCCGCCGGCGCCGCUCUUCCUCCUCCUCCUCCUCCUCCUCCUCCUCCUCCUCGUGUCAUCGUCCCCGUCGGUGUCCCCGGUGUCCCCGGUGUCACCUCCUUGUCCCUUGGCCUCCUUCUCCAGCCGCGCCCAGGCCUUGAGCUGCUGCGCCCGGCGCCGCUGGGCGUGCUUCAGGCGCUCGCCGGCGCUCAUGCGGCUCACCGCCGGCAUCUCCGCCAGCAGCUCGGCGUGCUCCGCCAUACUGGGAGCACUGGGAGCACUGGGAGAACUGGGAGCACUGGGAAGACUGGUGGGGAGGGCAAUGGGGGCGGUGGGGGGGUUUGGUUGCGGUGCCCCCGGGGGCAUUGCCGGUGCCGGGGGGUCAGCGGUGUGUGGUCGGCAUCGCUCGGUGGCCUUCGUCCUCUUCGUCCUCUUCUUCCUCCUCCUCUUCCUCCUCUUCCUCCUCUUCCUCCUCCUCCUCCUCCUCCUCCUCCUCUUUCUCCUCCUCUAUUGUGGAGGUUGCCCGAAGAGGCCCCAAAAUUUGCCUUUUUGAACCCAAAGUUGAGCACCUGGCUCACAUGGACACGGGGACAGGGGGGGAGGAGGUGAGCUGCCGGCCUCGUUAGCAGCCGGCCUCGUUAAUUCCUGGCCUCUACCUGCCAGCCUCGUUACCUACCAGCUUAAUUAAUUACCUGCCGGCCUCGUUACCCCCCAGCCUCGUUACCUGCCGGCCUCAUUACCAAUCAGCCUCGUUACCGGCCUCGUUAAGCUCCGGCCUCGUUACCCACCAGCCUCGUUACCUCCUGGCCUUGUUAAUUACCAGCCUCCUUCCCCCCCAGCCUCGUUAGCUGCCGGCCUCGUUACCCCCCAGCCUAAUUAACCCCCAGCCUCCUUCCCCCCCAGCCUCGUUACCCCCCAGCCUCAUUAAUUAACCCCCACCCUAAUUAACCC
rnacentral:lncRNA from 1 species